GUUCGCAAGGCUCGAUUCCGACGGGCCAAUCCGGAUUUCGGUGGCGGUGGCGGUUCUUUUCGUGCGCGAGUGAGUGAAGAGUGUGAUUGCUGGUGCAAAUUGUGGUGGACGAAGAGGAGGAGGAACCGGAAGGAUAAGAAGCUAUUCAAAAUCUCGGAAGCUUUGAGUGAAACGAAGUGAAAAAUGUGAUAAAAAUAGUAAAUAUUGCAACUUGAAGAUUCCACCCAAUAAUCAGCGUUUCAAAAUGGUAAGGUUGGUAGACAAUUGUUUGAAGGGGUAUCGCUCAUCAACAGUCUAGAUUCAAGACGAAGCAAUUGCUCUGUGAAGUUGAUCUCGUUUGGCGCAAUCGAUGGAAAGAAAGACAUCUCCAGUUACUUUCAUCUUUUUGCCCACCACACAGAGUACGGAGUUGUCCAAAUGAUUGGCAGCAUUCAGAAUCAAGCAGAUCGUCAAAUGCUCUGCCGGUGGGGUGGACGGGGGGCCAACGGAGACGGAAGGUAAUCAGCAUCCGUCUGCUAGGUGGAGUCGUCCUGGUGCUAGUAGUAUCACGCAGAAUAUUUCUCCUUUUCAAAAUCGAGAACGGUUCGAGCUCGUCGAUACAUUGGGAUGAUUGAGUGAUUGGGGGAAACGAGGGCAAUCACUCAUUCGAGGGUCUGGUUUGGUUUGUUGGCAAGAAAGGGUGGGGAGAAAUAUCAGUUGGACAGAAAUUUUGCACCGACUGGUGAAUACGAAUUUAUUGUUUACGCACCAGUUUUGAACUGAUU